rnacentral:lncRNA from 1 species
AUGAUUGGCGUUGGGUCUGGAGAAGGGGAGAAUGGUGGGCAAAUUUAUGAACCUUUUUGUUUGUUUGAUUUGUUUUCUUUUGUUUUUCAGAAAGUUUACUCGGUGUCCCACUUGUCUUUUAACUCAUGGAGACCUCUGACCAAACAAGGCCUCCACUGGGGACAUUUUGAGGAACGAGCACAGAGUGUGAUAUGCUUGCCCAUCCUGGAGGAGAACUUGCAAAUGCCUGCUCCCCCAGCAGCUGGAGGGCUAGUAAGAAUGCGUGGAGGACAACAGUGGCACCUUCCCUGUCAGCACAGGCAAAACCAUUUCAGAAAGCUCUCAAUGUCCUUGGAUACCUUAAAUUCCAGAUGGAGCUAUUAGAUAUCAUGCACAAUCUACAGGAAACACGUGACCUCCUGGAGACACCUAGAGACACCACAGGAUAUUGGAAAUGGUUGUAGUCACCCAUGUGUGUACAAAUAAAUCAAAUUCAUUUUGUCUCA